rnacentral:tRNA from 1 species
GGCUCUGUAGUGAAGUUCAUAAUGAGUUGCAAGCUCAUUGAUGUGCAUUGAUUGUGCACCGGGGUCU